CCAGCCACCAUGUGAAGAAGGUCCUUGCUUCCCCUUCACCUUCCGCCGUGACUGUAUGUUUCCUGAGGCCUCCCAGUCAUGUCUCCUGUGAAGCCUGCAGAAUGGUUGUCCUCCCCAGAGCCCCCUCUGGAGAUCUGAGGAGCAAAUCCAACCCCAUGACUCCCACCUCUGCUGAAAGCUGCCAUGGCUCCCUACAGCUCUCAGCAUAAGCAAUAACAAUAAGAGCACCCACUCAUUGAGUGCUGACUACAGCCCCAGCCCUGAGGCUCGUGCUUUACAUGGGUUAUUGCCUGGAGAUUUCACAAAAGCCCUGGGAAGCAGAGAUCAUCUAAACCAGCAGUCCCCAAUUUUUUUUGGUACCAAGGACCAGUUUCACAGAAGACAAGUUUCCCACAGAAUGGUGGUCGGGUGGGGGAAUGGUUUUGAGAUGAAACUGUUUCACCUCAGAUCAUCAGGCACUGGAUUCUCAUAAAGAGCACAGAACCUAGAUCCUUCACGUGCACAGUUCCCGAUGUGGUUCGUGCUCCUAUGAGAACGAAAUGCUGCUGCUGAUGUGACAGGAAGUGGAGCUCAGGUGGUGAUACUCACCUCCUGCCAUGCGGCCCAGUUCCUAACAGGCCACGGACCCGUACCAGUCCUUGGCCCCAAGGUUGGGGACCCCGAUCUAAAUGAUUUUAAAGGUAAGAAAACUGAGUCACAGAGAGGUGGAGUUAUUUUCCAAGUUUACACAGCCAGGAUCUGGCUGAGCCCAAAUCUGAAAUCCUACUUGGCUCAAAGGGCUGGAUCUGGGUUGAGAAAGCAUAAAUAGGGCUGGAGAGGCCAGUAGGAGUAGAUCGCGAAGCACCAGAUGCUGAGGGUGAGGAUAAUGGGAGCCAGAGGAAACAAGGACCCUGAGUCCUCUGAUAUCUGUUUGGAACCAUCUUGGGUGCCCCUUUCAAGACCUGCAUGGUCAUUUCCCUCCAAAAAGUGUUUCCUGCUUUUGUAGUCCAUGGUUAUUCAUUCAUUCGUUCAUUCAUUCAACAAAUUCACGUGCCAGACGCUGUUAAGUCUAGGGACACAGACAUGGUCCCACCAAAUCAGACAAGGUCCCACUCUCCAGGAGCUCUAAACUCUAUACUCUAGGAGUAUAAACCAACAGUGACAAUUCAGAGAUCCAUGUUUGGGUUAGAGGAAGCUCAGGGAGCCGGGGGGUUGUAGGAGCGUAAAGGAAAUAUCCAAACAGUCUGGGGUUGGGGUCAAGGGAGACUCCCUAAGCAGGUGCUGCCUCAGUUCAGCUCUGAAGAUGGCAGAUACCAAGGUGAAAGGAGAAAAAGGGAUAGGAAACGGGGCAGAAGGAACAUUCCGAACAAAGGGAACAGCAUGUACAAAGGCCUGGAGGAGAGAUUCUUGAAAGAAGAGACUUGGCCUGAAUUGUCGUCUGCCAAUUCCCCAAUGCCUAGAACACUGUCAGGCACACAGUGGAUGCUUAAUAAAUAUCAGUUGAGUAAAUAGAGCAUGGCAUGUUCAGGGGGCUGCAGGUGAUUCAGGGCAGCUAG
rnacentral:lncRNA from 1 species